rnacentral:tRNA from 1 species
UGGGGUGUAGCCAAGCGGAAAGGCAGCGGCCUUUGGAGCCGCCAUUCGGAGGUUCGAAUCCUCCCGCCCCAGCCA